rnacentral:rRNA from 1 species
UACGUAGGGGGCAAGCGUUGUCCGGAAUCAUUGGGCGUAAAGCGCGUGUAGGCGGCUUGGUAAGUCCGGUGUGAAACCUUGGGGCUCAACCCCAAGCCUGCAUCGGAAACUGCCUCGCUCGAGUCCGGGAGGGGAGAGCGGAAUUCCUAGUGUAGCGGUGAAAUGCGUAGAUAUUAGGAAGAACACCAGUGGCGAAGGCGGCUCACUGGCCCGGUACUGACGCUGAGGCGCGAAAGCGUGGGGAGCAAACAGG